CAGCAGUCGCCGCGGUAAUACGAAGGGUGCAAGCGUUAAUCGGAAUUACUGGGCGUAAAGCGUGCGUAGGCGGUUUGUUAAGUCUGCUGUGAAAUCCCCGGGCUCAACCUGGGAAUGGCAGUGGAUACUGGCAAGCUAGAGUGUGUCAGAGGAUGGUGGAAUUCCCGGUGUAGCGGUGAAAUGCGUAGAGAUCGGGAGGAACAUCAGUGGCGAAGGCGGCCAUCUGGGACAACACUGACGCUGAGGCACGAAAGCGUGGGGAGCAAACAGGAUUAGAUACCCCUGUAGUCCCUGUCUCUUAUAC
rnacentral:rRNA from 1 species